GGAGACGUGUCAGAGUGGUCUAUUGAGCGACUUUGCUAAAGUCGUAGGGCUUAACCGCCCUCCAGGGUUCGAAUCCCUGCGUCUCCG
rfam:Parcubacteria bacterium GW2011_GWA1_47_10 TX71_C0002, whole genome shotgun sequence.